AGAACUUGAAACCGUGUGCUUACAAGUAGUCAGAGCCCGUUAAUGGGUGAUGGCGUGCCUUUUGUAGAAUGAACCGGCGAGUUACGAUCUGAUGCAAGGUUAAGCAGAAAAUGUGGAGCCGUAGCGAAAGCGAGUCUGAAUAGGGCGAAUGAGUAUUUGGUCGUAGACCCGAAACCAGGUGAUCUACCCUUGGUCAGGUUGAAGUUCAGGUAACACUGAAUGGAGGACCGAACCGACUUACGUUGAAAAGUGAGCGGAUGAACUGAGGGUAGCGGAGAAAUUCCAAUCGAACUUGGAGAUAGCUGGUUCUCUCCGAAAUAGCUUUAGGGCUAGCCUCAAGUGAUGAUUAUUGGAGGUAGAGCACUGUUUGGACGAGGGGCCCCUCUCGGGUUACCGAAUUCAGACAAACUCCGAAUGCCAAAUAAUUUAACUUGGGAGUCAGAAUGUGGGUGAUAAGGUCCAUAUUCGAAAGGGAAACAGCCCAGACCACCAGCUAAGGUCCCAAAAUAUAUGUUAAGUGGAAAAGGAUGUGGCGUUGCCCAGACAACUAGGAUGUUGGCUUAGAAGCAGCCAUCAUUUAAAGAGUGCGUAAUAGCUCACUAGUCGAG
rnacentral:rRNA from 1 species